rnacentral:lncRNA from 1 species
UUGAAAUUGUCAUACAGUACUAAAUAAUUUAUAGUAUUUGAACCACAAAUUCAUGUUUGGUAAUUGGUGACAAAAAUGACAGGAAAAUUAUUUUAUAUUUAUUUAUUAUAUAUUUAUUAUAUAAUAUAAAACAAUAUUAUAUAAUAUAAUAAAGUAUUUUAGUAAUAUAUAAUAAAUUAUUGCUUACAUUUAUGCAUUUAUAUUUUAUAUUUAAUUUAUGUGGAUAUAGGCAAACAAUUGAUCACCUACUAAUUCCAGACAGGAAGCCAUGAAAGUCCCUGAUUCUGGUGCUUAGUCAUCAAAAAUGUGGUUAGAGUCACUGAUCAAGGCAAGUUGCUGGGUGUUUCAGAGAAACGGAAGCAGAGCCAUGUGUAUUUAGUUUCCAGCAAGGUAUCAUUGGCGGUUUAGAUACUGAUUUGCAAAGACCAUGUUCUACUUGCUUUCUGAUGCUUUGGUAAACAACAUGACCAAAAACACCUUGGGGGCGGGGAGCAAAGAGUUUCUUGAAUUUAUAGUCUACAAAUGGAAUUCAGAGCAGGAUCUUGAGGCAGAAGUAAAGCAGAGGCAUGGAGGCACACUUGUUUACUGGCUUCCUACCUUGGCUUUCUAGUGGCAUGUGGAAGAGUCACCUCUUGUUAAAGACACACUAGGCUGACCCAAGCUACCUUCCUUCUACUGAAUCAUCCCUACUUCAUAAAGGUAAAUCUCCUCUAUCCAUAGGGACUCUAUUAGAGUCCUAUUCAGAACAUUGUCUCCAAUGUUCAAUAGCAUCCCGUAUUUCCUCUUCUAACAAAUUCAGGGUAUCAGAUCUUAUGGUGAGGUUCAUGUGAAGUUGUGGUUUGUGUAGAGAUAAGAAUAUAAGUGUGUCUCUCCUGUCUACCUAGCACCAGUUGUUGGAGAUAUUUUCUUUUUUACUGAGAGGCUUCUUGAAGAAGCUCAAAAGAUAUCUUAAAAACUUGAUUUGAGCCAACAUCUAAUGAAUCAAAUCUUUUGUUGCUGUUGUUGGUAAAUAUGGCUAUGUUUCUUCUCAAUAAAAUAAUUGACUAAAUUUCUAAAAUGGAUACUGAGCUUGGGUUUAGGUUUAGGACAUAGAGAGAACAUGUGUUCAUACAGUCAUUUAAAACACAACUCCCGCAAUGAGAGGUUACAGACUGGGUGGGGAAAACCUCACAUCAAGUUAAUGUAGAACUCUUUAUGAAAAUUUAUAUUAUCCAAUUAAUCUUCAGAUUAUAAGGAUAACUCAUUAGGAAGGGAAAGGUAUGGGAAAGCAAUGGGAGGAGAUAAUUCAUGCAGAAGAGAAAUAACAGCACCAAUUGUUCCAAGGUUCUUUCGAAGAUCACAAAUAACAUGUUAACUAUGGAGAAAACCUGUUACCACCAAAGGACUAUACCACCAAGGGGUUUGGUAUUUCCAUAAUGGUGGGGAAGAAGAGACAGCUCAGAUUUCCAUAGUAUUUUGUAAUUAAUUUGGUGCCCGUAUGGAAAAUUAAUUGGUUUUUCUGAUAAUGAAAUAGAAGGAAAUAGUCAGACUCUGACAUAUUAAAAGAACUACUCCUUAAUAGAGGCAGUGUCAGCUGGGAUAAUAUGGUCUUGCUCCCUCAGGUAUCCAAAUGCAGUUCCAGGGUAGCCCAGGAGAAUGUCAGUGGCUGAACAGUUAAGCAAGCUUCCCCCUUGCAACUAAAGCUAAGCAGAUUAAUUAAAACUUAAAAGCAUUAUGAUUUAGUUAUGAAUAACAGUUUGUGGUGACAGAGCUCCCGUCUAUAAUUUACCAUCACAAAACGACACCCGGGCUCACUGCUGCUAUAAUUAGCUUUUGAUAUACCAUUUCUUGCAAGCCACAGCCUGUGCUUGCUCCCAGAUGUCCUGCACAUAUUUAAAAAUGGUAAACAUUAAUUUGUAGGGAUGACAGCUGUGGGUCAAGUUUGAGGUUGAUUGAUAAUUUCUUAUUCAAAUGUGUGCCUACAUUACUUCAUUUGUCAUCUGCUAGCGAAAUAGAAAGCUAUUCUACUACAUUCCUAGUUAAUAUUUCAUUUUUUUCAUAAAUUAUCUGUAAAAGCAAAAGCAAUAGAACUUAAACCUUUCUCCACUAUUUGGCAUGGAAUAUUGAUGGAGCUAAGGGCUUUGAAAAAUUAUUUUCCAGCCAGAAGGCUUAUGAUUUGUUAAUCUGACACCUUGUGUUUGCACAGUGCUAAGCAUACAGUGGGCACUCAAUAAAUGCCACCUGGUGACUUUGAGGAGUCCAAAAUACUUUCUGCUCAGCAGGCCAUACUUUGUGCAAGCAGUCUUCUCAUUUUAUAAACAACCACAGCAGGCUUAGGUAGGUUUCCUAAGAGGCAAUGAAGUGGCACAUCUUUCGGCCACACCUAGCUCAGGAGUUCAGAAAAAAAUACUUACAGGAAACACAUUCGUCCUGACAUAUUUAGUUACACCAACUGAACACCUCAGAAACUUUCUUCUUUCUCUUUACCUCUUUGCCUGGAGGCUAGAGAACCUUUUUCCC